CUCCGAUAAGAGUAAUGCCGGAUCAAUCCGGCAGCACAAAGCCGCGGGCCUCCACGUGAGGACAGCCGGGCUGCCGAA
rnacentral:ncRNA from 1 species